UAGCUCAAUGGGUAGAGCAUGGCAUUAACACUGCCAGGGUUAGGGGUUCAAUUCCACUUGGAGGGGCCA
rnacentral:tRNA from 1 species